CCUACGGGUGGCAGCAGUAGGGAAUCUUCCACAAUGGGCGAAAGCCUGAUGGAGCAACGCCGCGUGGGUGAAGAAGGUCUUCGGAUCGUAAAACCCUGUUGUUAGAGAAGAAAGUGCGUGAGAGUACCCGAAGAAAAAGCAUCGGCUAACUCCGUGCCAGCAGCCGCGGUAAUACGGAGGAUGCGAGCGUUAUCCGGAUUUAUUGGGUUUAAAGGGUGCGCAGGCGGAUUUUUAAGUCAGCGGUCAAAUCGUGGGGCUCAACCCCAUCCAGCCGUUGAAACUGGGGAUCUAGAGUGUGCGAGAGGUAUGCGGAAUGCGUGGUGUAGCGGUGAAAUGCAUAGAUAUCACGCAGAACCCCGAUUGCGAAGGCAGCAUACCGGUGCACAACUGACGCUCAGGCACGAAAGCGUGGGUAUCGAACAGGAUUAGAUACCCCUGUAGUC
rnacentral:rRNA from 1 species